rnacentral:rRNA from 1 species
UACGGAGGGGGCUAGCGUUGUUCGGAAUUACUGGGCGUAAAGCGCACGUAGGCGGCUUUGCAAGUUAGAGGUGAAAGCCCGGGGCUCAACUCCGGAAUUGCCUUUAAAACUGCAUCGCUAGAAUUGUGGAGAGGUAAGCGGAAUUCCGAGUGUAGAGGUGAAAUUCGUAGAUAUUCGGAAGAACACCAGUGGCGAAGGCGACUUACUGGACACAUAUUGACGCUGAGGUGCCAAAGCGUGGGGAGCAAACAGG